AUUGAACGCUGGCGGCAGGCCUAACACAUGCAAGUCGAGCGGAUGAAGGGAGCUUGCUCCUGGAUUCAGCGGCGGACGGGUGAGUAAUGCCUAGGAAUCUGCCUGGUAGUGGGGGAUAACGUCCGGAAACGGGCGCUAAUACCGCAUACGUCCUGAGGGAGAAAGUGGGGGAUCUUCGGACCUCACGCUAUCAGAUGAGCCUAGGUCGGAUUAGCUAGUUGGUGGGGUAAAGGCCUACCAAGGCGACGAUCCGUAACUGGUCUGAGAGGAUGAUCAGUCAAACUGGAACUGAGACACGGUACAGAAUCCUACGGGAGGCAGCAGUGGGGAAUAUUGGACAAUGGGCGAAAGCAUGAUACAGCCAUGCCGCGUGUGUGAAGAAGGUCUUCGGAUUGUAAAGCACUUUAAGUUGGGAGGAAGGGCAGUAAGUUAAUACCUUGCUGUUUUGACGUUAACAACAGAAUAAGCACCGGCUAACUUCGUG
rnacentral:rRNA from 1 species